GACGAACGCUGGCGGCGUGCUUAACACAUGCAAGUCGAACGGAAAGGCCCUUCGGGGUACUCGAGUGGCGAACGGGUGAGUAACACGUGGGUGAUCUGCCCUGCACUUUGGGAUAAGCCUGGGAAACUGGGUCUAAUACCGAAUAUGAUCAUGGCCUUCAUGGGUUGUGGUGGAAAGCUUUUGCGGUGUGGGAUGGGCCCGCGGCCUAUCAGCUUGUUGGUGGGGUAAUGGCCUACCAAGGCGACGACGGGUAGCCGGCCUGAGAGGGUGUCCGGCCACACUGGGACUGAGAUACGGCCCAGACUCCUACGGGAGGCAGCAGUGGGGAAUAUUGCACAAUGGGCGCAAGCCUGGUGCAGCGACGCCGCGUGAGGGAUGACGGCCUUCGGGUUGUAAACCUCUUUCAGCAGGGACGAAGCGCAAGUGACGGUACCUGUAGAAGAAGGACCGGCCAACUACGUGCCAGCAGCCGCGGUAAUACGUAGGGUCCGAGCGUUGUCCGGAAUUACUGGGCGCAAAGAGCUCGUAGGUGGUUUGUCGCGUUGUUCGUGAAAACUCACAGCUUAACUGUGGGCGUGCGGGCGAUACGGGCAGACUUGAGUACUGCAGGGGAGACUGAAAUUCCUGGUGUAGCGGUGGAAUGCGCAGAUAUCAGGAGGAACACCGGUGGCGAAGGCGGGUCUCUGGGCAGUAACUGACGCUGAGGAGCGAAAGCGUGGGGAGCGAACAGGAUUAGAUACCCUGGUAGUCCACGCCGUAAACGGUGGGUACUAGGUGUGGGUUUCCUUCCUUGGGAUCCGUGCCGUAGCUAACGCAUUAAGUACCCCGCCUGGGGAGUACGGCCGCAAGGCUAAAACUCAAAGAAAUUGACGGGGGCCCGCACAAGCGGCGGAGCAUGUGGAUUAAUUCGAUGCAACGCGAAGAACCUUACCUGGGUUUGACAUGCACAGGACGUGCCUAGAGAUAGGUAUUCCCUUGUGGCCUGUGUGCAGGUGGUGCAUGGCUGUCGUCAGCUCGUGUCGUGAGAUGUUGGGUUAAGUCCCGCAACGAGCGCAACCCUUAUCUUAUGUUGCCAGCGCGUAAUGGCGGGGACUCGUGAGAGACUGCCGGGGUCAACUCGGAGGAAGGUGGGGAUGACGUCAAGUCAUCAUGCCCCUUAUGUCCAGGGCUUCACACAUGCUACAAUGGCCGGUACAAAGGGCUGCGAUGCCGUGAGGUGGAGCGAAUCCUUUCAAAGCCGGUCUCAGUUCGGAUCGGGGUCUGCAACUCGACCCCGUGAAGUCGGAGUCGCUAGUAAUCGCAGAUCAGCAACGCUGCGGUGAAUACGUUCCCGGGCCU
rnacentral:rRNA from 1 species